rnacentral:rRNA from 1 species
AUUGAACGCUGGCGGCAGGCCUAACACAUGCAAGUCGAACGAGUGGCGGACGGGUGAGUAACGUCUGGGAAACUGCCUGAUGGCGGGGGAUAACUACUGGAAACGGUAGCUAAUACCGCAUACCAUCAGAUGUGCCCAGAUGGGAUUAGCUUGUUGGUGGGGUAACGGCUCACCAAGGCGACCAUCCCUAGCUGGUCUGAGAGGAUGACCGACCACACUGGAGCUGAGACACGGUCCAGGCUCCUACGGGAGGCAGCAGUGGGGAAUAUUGCACAAUGGGCGCAAGCCUGAGGCAGCCAUGCCGCGUGUAUGAAGAGGGCCUUCGGGUGGUAAAGUACUUUCAGCAAGGAGGCGUUACGCGCAGAGGAAGCACCGGCUAACUCCGUGCCAGCAGCCGCGGUAGUAC